CUAAACGGAACCAUGCAGUGUGUGCUCUGUCUCCGUCUGGAUUCUCUUGUCCAGCUUUGUGAGAUCUACGGACGGUGCGGCCUGAGGGGGACGUGGCUCUGCUGUGUGAGGCACGUGGUGUGAACACAUCACGCUUCCUCCGCCGCCAUUGAAGAAGAAAUGUUCCCAUGCAGUGCCCACCCUCCCUCGCCAUGUGCUGCGUGUGCUCUAGGCUCGGGGCCGUGCCGCAGGGGGUC